CUAUACAUGCAGUCGAGCGCAGGAACUGACGGAACUCUUCGGAGGGAAGGCAGUGGAAUGAGCGGCGGACGGGUGAGUAACACGUAAGGAACCUGCCUCAAGGAUUGGGAUAACUCCGAGAAAUCGGAGCUAAUACCGGAUAGUUCAACGGACCGCAUGGUCCGCUGAUGAAAGGCGCUUCGGCGUCACCUUGAGAUGGCCUUGCGGUGCAUUAGCUAGUUGGUGGGGUAACGGCCCACCAAGGCGACGAUGCAUAGCCGACCUGAGAGGGUGAUCGGCCACACUGGGACUGAGACACGGCCCAGACUCCUACGGGAGGCAGCAGUAGGGAAUCUUCCACAAUGGACGAAAGUCUGAUGGAGCAACGCCGCGUGAGUGAUGAAGGUUUUCGGAUCGUAAAACUCUGUUGUAAGGGAAGAACACGUACGAGAGGUAAUGCUCGUACCUUGACGGUACCUUACGAGAAAGCCACGGCUAACUACGUGCCAGCAGCCGCGGUAAUACGUAGGUGGCAAGCGUUGUCCGGAAUUAUUGGGCGUAAAGCGCGCGCAGGCGGCCUUUUAAGUCUGAUGUGAAAGCCCCCGGCUCAACCGGGGAGGGCCAUUGGAAACUGGAAGGCUUGAGUACAGAAGAGAAGAGUGGAAUUCCACGUGUAGCGGUGAAAUGCGUAGAGAUGUGGAGGAACACCAGUGGCGAAGGCGACUCUUUGGUCUGUAACUGACGCUGAGGCGCGAAAGCGUGGGGAGCAAACAGGAUUAGAUACCCUGGUAGUCCACGCCGUAAACGAUGAGUGCUAGGUGUUGGGGGGUUUCCGCCCCUCAGUGCUGAAGCUAACGCAUUAAGCACUCCGCCUGGGGAGUACGGCCGCAAGGCUGA
rnacentral:rRNA from 1 species